rnacentral:lncRNA from 1 species
UGUUCUUCACGGGAUUCUUUGAAAUUUGUCAUUUUUUGAUCAUUUUUCUUGUUUUUUUUGGCAUGUGAUCUAAUUUGCAGGCUGUAAACAGCUUUAUUCAGCUUUUUCAAGGAUUAAAUGGUUGAAAAUUUUGGUGUUUUUGGAUCACGAAACUUGCUUUUUUAGGGUUUCCGCCUUUUUUGAAAGUUUCAUGCCAAAUAGGGCAUGAAUCUUUCAAAAUUUGUAGGCAUUUUGAUCGUAAAGCUAUGAAUCAAAACCUUU